ensembl:lncRNA
GGUGUUUAGUUUGUUUCUUCAGUUAUUUCUUCUAUGAUAUUCUGGAUGCAUGGUUUCUCAUGAAUGAGGAAAAUGCCUUUUUCCCAUUCCCAGUUUUCAAAUGGAAGGAUUUUCUUUAAGAGCUGUCCUAGCCUCUUGAAAAGACCCUGAUGCCGGAAAAGAUUGAGGGCAGGCAGGGAAGGAGGCAACAGAGGAUGAGAUGGUUGGAUGGCAUCACUGACUCAAUGGGCAUGAAUUUGAGCAAGCUCAGGGAGAUACUGAAGGAGAGGGAAGCCUGGUGUGUUGCAGUUUCGAUGGGGUCACAAGAAGUUGGACAUGACUGAGUGAUUGAACUGAACUGAGCCUCUCGAAAUAUUUAUUGCCCCCUCCUUGGAAUGAUGUAGAGUUUUGCCUCAAUGUAAACUUGGAAGUAAAUGCUGGGUUUGCUUGACCUUCCUCUGCUCUCCCUUCUCUUAGACAUGCACUUGCCCACAGAGAAUAUUCCUCCCCUGCUACUCCUCCUUUCUAGGGGGAGCCAGCCCCUGCCUCAGUGGGUAUCCACCUAAGUUUGGAGAGGAGUUGGUGAAUUGGCUCAUCUAAUACUAAUCCUGAAUUUGGCCUGGAAAAUCACAUGGACAGAGGAGCCUGGUGGGCUACAGCUCAUGAGCUUGCAAAUGAGCUGGACACGACUUAGUGACUGAACAACAACAACAACCCCUUCCACCACCAACUCUGUUUUUAAAGCUGUCCACUGCUGGUGAAUUGGAAAACAGUCUUAACC